rnacentral:lncRNA from 1 species
GUCGCCCUGGGGGUGUCCAGGACGUGGUGACAGCCGCCAGGGACAGGCGCCUCCUCUGACUAGCUCUCCCUGAGCUCCAGCCCCUGGAACGCCCUCCUCCCCCAUCAGCUCCUCCCCCAAGCUGGCUUCUCACCCCCAAGGACAGGCAGCCCCGCAGGGCUGGUGCUGUGGCAGGAACCAGGGACUCUGCCUGUGAAGCCCAAGUGUGGGAGGCAGGCUGUGACCAGGAGCCUGGAAGAAAGGCCCCCGUGCUUCAUGAUGUGGGGACCUGGCUGGUGAUGGA